rnacentral:misc_RNA from 1 species
GAUGAAGAACGCAGCGAAAUGCGAUAAGUAGUGUGAAUUGCAGAAUUCAGUGAAUCAUCGAAUCUUUGAACGCACAUUGCGCCCUUUGGUAUUCCAAAGAGCAUGCCUGUUCGAGCGUCAUUUGUACCCUCAAGCUUUGCUUGGUGUUGGGCGUCUUGUCUCCAGUUCGCUGGAGACUCGCCUUAAAGUAAUUGGCAGCCGGCCUACUGGUUUCGGAGCGCAGCACAAGUCGCGCUCUCUUCCAGCCAAGGUCAGCAUCCACAAAGCCUUUUUUCAACUUUUGACCUCGGAUCAGGUAGGGAUACCCGCUGAACUUAAGCAUAUCAAUAAGCGGAGGA